rnacentral:rRNA from 1 species
AUCGGGUCUAUAAUGCAGUGAGCGGACUNGAUGGGAGCUUGCUCCCUGAUAGUCAGCGGCGGACGGGUGAGUAACACGUGGGCAACCUACCUUUAAGACUGGNAUAACUUCGGNAAACCGGAGCUAAUACCGGAUAACAUGUAAGGCCACAUGGUCUUACAUUAAAAGAUGGCUUCGGCUAUCACUUAUAGAUGGGCCCGCGGCGCAUUAGCUAGUUGGUGAGGUAAUGGCUCACCANGGCGACGAUGCGUAGCCNACCUGAGAGGGUGAUCGGCCACACUGGGACUGAGACACGGCCCAGACUCCUACGGGAGGNAGCNNUAGGNAAUCUUCCGCAAUGGACGAAAGNCUGACGGAGCAACGCCGCGUGAAUGAUGAAGGCUUUCGGGUCGUAAAGUUCUGUUGUUAGGGAAGAACAAGUACCAGAGUAACUGCUGGUACCUUGACGGUACCUAACCAGAAAGCCACGGCUAACUACGUGCCAGCAGCCGCGGUAAUACGUAGGUGGCAAGCGUUAUCCGGAAUUAUUGGGCGUAAAGCGCUCGCAGGCGGUCUUUUAAGUCUGAUGUGAAAGCCCACGGCUCAACCGUGGAGGGUCAUUGGAAACUGGGAGACUUGAGUGCAGAAGAGGAGAGUGGAAUUCCACGUGUAGCGGUGAAAUGCGUAGAGAUGUGGAGGAACACCAGUGGCGAAGGCGACUCUCUGGUCUGUAACUGACGCUGAGGAGCGAAAGCGUGGGGAGCGAACAGGAUUAGAUACCCUGGUAGUCCACGCCGUAAACGAUGAGUGCUAAGUGUUAGAGGGUUUCCGCCCUUUAGUGCUGCAGCUAACGCAUUAAGCACUCCGCCUGGGGAGUACGGUCGCNAGACUGAAACUCAAAGGAAUUGACGGGGGCCCGCACAAGCGGGGGAGCAUG